rnacentral:rRNA from 1 species
GGACUACCAGGGUUUCUAAUCCUGUUUGCUCCCCACGCUUUCGCGCCUCAGCGUCAGUAACGGGCCAGUGAGUCGCCUUCGCCACUGGUGUUCUUCCGAAUAUCUACGAAUUUCACCUCUACACUCGGAGUUCCACUCACCUCUCCCGUACUCAAGAUGUCCAGUAUCAAAGGCAAUUCCAAGGUUGAGCCCUGGGCUUUCACCUCUGACUAAGACAUCCGCCUACGCGCCCUUUACGCCCAGUAAUUCCGAGCAACGCUAGCCCCCUUCGUAUUACCGCGGCUGCUGGCAC